GACGAACGCUGGCGGCGUGCCUAAUACAUGCAAGUAGAACGCACAGUUUAUACCGUAGCUUGCUACACCAUAGACUGUGAGUUGCGAACGGGUGAGUAACGCGUAGGUAACCUGCCUGGUAGCGGGGGAUAACUAUUGGAAACGAUAGCUAAUACCGCAUAAUAUUGAUUAUUGCAUGAUAAUUGAUUGAAAGAUGCUAUUGCAUCACUACCAGAUGGACCUGCGUUGUAUUAGCUAGUAGGUGAGGUAACGGCACACCUAGGCGACGAGACAUAGCCGACCGGGGACGGGAAUCGGACACACAGGGACUGAGACACGGCACAGACUCCUACGGGAGGCAGCAGAAGGGAAACUUCGGCAAGGGAGGGAAGACUGACCGAGCAACGCCGCGGGAGUGAAGAAGGUUUUCGGAUCGUAAAGCUCUGUUGUAAGAGAAGAACGGGUGUGAGAGUGGAAAGUUCACACUGUGACGGUAUCUUACCAGAAAGGGACGGCUAACUACGUG
rnacentral:rRNA from 1 species